rnacentral:rRNA from 1 species
GCSSCUAGCUAUUAAGGCACGCCUGCCCGGUGAUAAUUAAACGGCCGCGGUACCCUAACCGUGCAAAGGUAGCAUAAUCAUUUGUCUAUUAAUUGUAGACCUGUAUGAAAGGCAAAAUGAGAGCCCAACUGUCUCUUAUAAUAGAUCAAUUAAACUGAUCUUUCAGUACAAAAGCUGAAAUACCCCCAUAAGACCAGAAGACCCUGUGAAGCUUUAAUUACCCUAUUAAACCCAAUAAUAGCUAAUUUCGGUUGGGGCGACCUUGGAACAAAAAAGAACUUCCAAAUACAUGACCUAAGUCAUCAAAAAGGCAUACAAGCCACUAUUAGACCCAGUACAGCUGAUAAUUGAACCAAGUUACUCCAGGGAUAACAGCGCCAUCUUCUUCAAGAGCCCAUAUCAAAAAGAAGGUUUACGACCUCGAUGUUGGAUCAGGACAUCCUAGCAAUGCAGCCGUUACUAAGGGUUCGUUUGUUCAACGAUUAACAGUCCUACGUGAUCUGAGUUUCAGACCGGACGAUAUUUAAACAGAAAACUACRAUAAUCUUCUACAACAACACAGAGAUGCUCCCACACUUUUCAGGUUGGAGGAGAGGAAAAUGACUCAACCCUAUGUCUCAGUUAUUAUAUUUGGRGAUUAYAAAUCAAGGGUGUCAAACUARCAGCCCCACGUUGGKUC